CCAAAGGGGAAGCUGUUGAACUGUGUUGGCCUCCAUCUACUGUACCAUGAAUCAUCUGUUACGGCAGUGCGCCACCCAGCUUUCUUUCAUUCUCAAUGACUCCUAGGCAUCUAAAGUAUGCUGGGUGCCCUCAGUGCACUGGAACAGAUAAGACAUAAACCAGCUUCUCAGGCAAACCCCCCAAAGCCCAAAUGUUGGAUGCACACUACUUCAACACUUUCCCUCCUUGGAGUCAAGUCAGAGUUGGAGUUUUCUUCCACUUGUUCCACGCUUAGAUGGGGAGAGGAGCUAUAGCAAGAUCUAUUUGCCUCAGUUCGAUUGGUGGAACCUAGACUCGUGUCGUUAGUGCUCUCACUAUUCAAAAACAAAAACAAAUAAGAAAAAGGAGAAACAAAGUCUUUCUGUCCUUUAAAAUGUGGAUGACUCCCAUGGCCUCUGCCUAACCCACCUGACAUACUGAAUUUGUGAGUGUUCAUCCUUCUCACCCCACUCCUAAUAUUCUAGCCGUACUUCCAGCCUGGCUUUGU
rnacentral:lncRNA from 10 species